rnacentral:pre_miRNA from 1 species
UCGGGGUAAAAUAGCGAGUAACCGACUUGAGGAAGUGAUCAACCCUUGUGAUAUGUUUAAAUCUGCUUUUUUUUUUUUUACUCCAUAAACUUUUUAUCGAGUGUAAAAAGAUUCUUAUUGGGAUAUAAAAAAAACCAGAUUUAAAUUUAACCCAAGGGUUGGUGAUGUAUUUUCCCCAAGAAGGCUUCUCACUAUUUUACCCUAU